rnacentral:rRNA from 1 species
GAUGAACGCUGGCGGCGUGCCUAAUACAUGCAAGUCGAGCGAACAGACGAGGAGCUUGCUCCUCUGACGUUAGCGGCGGACGGGUGAGUAACACGUGUAUAACCUACCUAUAAGACUGGGAUAACUUCGGGAAACCGGAGCUAAUACCGGAGAAUAUAUUGAACCGCAUGGUUCGAUAGUGAAAGACGGUUUUGCUGUCACUUAUAGAUGGAUCCGCGCCGCAUUAGCUAGUUGGUAAGUUAACGGCUUACCAAGGGAACGAUGCGUAAACGACGUGACAGGGUGGUCGGCCACACUGGAAGUGAGCCACGGUCAAGACUACUACGGGAGGCAGCAGUAGGGAAUCUUCCGCAAUGGGCGAAAGCUUGACGGAGCAACGCCGCGUGAGUUGUGACGGUCUUCGGAUCGUAAAACUCUGUUAUUAGGGAAGAACAAAUGUGUAAGUAAAUAUGCACGUAUUGACGGUACCUAAUAAGAAAGCAACGGCUAACUACGUG